CGGGGUGCAGCAGGCGCGAAAACUUUACAAUGCCGGCAACGGCGAUAAGGGAACCUCGAGUGCCAGGUUACAAAUCUGGCUGUCGUGAUGCCUAAAAAGCAUUGCAUAGCAAGGGCCGGGCAAGACCGGUGCCAGCCGCCGCGGUAACACCGGCGGCUCGAGUGGUAACCGUUAUUAUUGGGUCUAAAGGGUCUGUAGCCGGCCGGAUAAGUCUCUUGGGAAAUCUGGCAGCUUAACUGUCAGGCUUUCAGGAGAUACUGUCUGGCUCGAGGCCGGGAGAGGUGAGAGGUACUUCAGGGGUAGGGGUGAAAUCUUGUAAUCCUUGAAGGACCACCAGUGGCGAAGGCGUCUCACCAGAACGGACCUGACGGCAAGGGACGAAAGCUAGGGGCACGAACCGGAUUAGAUACCCGGGUAGUCCUAGCCGUAAACGAUACUCGCUAGGUGUCGGCCACGGUGCGACCGUGGUCGGUGCCGUAGGGAAGCCGUGAAGCGAGCCACCUGGGAAGUACGGCCGCAAGGCUGAAACUUAAAGGAAUUGGCGGGGGAGCAC
rnacentral:rRNA from 1 species